rnacentral:tRNA from 1 species
GUCUCUGGUUAGCUCAGUUGGUAGAGCGCUCCACUGAAAAUGGAGAGGUCCCGGGCUCAAUACCCGGACCAGGCA